CUCUAAUCCUCUGCUGGUCCUGGAUUCAGCUACAGCAUACAGUGAUUCUAGCCCUCUGGAACCUUGUAAAAUUCCCCAAUAUAGUGGACAAGACCAGUCGUAUUGGGUAAAACAAGAGUACUGUUUAUUUCAGAGGAAAACACAUGCAUUUAUCCCCCUACACACAACAGGGGGUCCCCAUACCAUUACACACAAACUCCC